UCCCUGGCGGUCCAGUGGUAAGGACUCUGCAUUUUCACUGCCAAGGGCCCAGGUUUGAUCCCUGGUCAGGGAA